rnacentral:rRNA from 1 species
GCUUAUGAGAAGCCUUUGUGGCCCCGCAAGGGGUACUGCUGAACGACUGUAAAUAAAUCAAGCGGUUUAAAUCGCAAGUCAGACUUCGGUUCUGGCAACACUUUCGAAUUGCGGGAACACCCUAAAGCUCUUCUCCACCAACCGUUCAGGGAAACCUGUGCGGGGCUCAUGUUAACGGCAUGAGGCGAGGUAAAAGUGAGAAUUGAUACGCUGAUUUGGUUCGGCAGCAUGGGCAAUCCGCAGCCAAGUCCCUAAGGCUGGUUCAAACAGCUAUGGGAAAGGUUCACAGACUAAGUGGAAGUGGGCUACCUGGAUAUCCGGGUCAGCUUAAGAUAUAGUCGGGUUCUGCGCGAAACCGCAGGAGAGUCACUAAACGGGGUGCCUAAAUAGCACCCGGCUUGGUUAUUCAUUAACCGUUCCGUAGGUGAACCUGCGGAAGGAUCAUUA